rnacentral:rRNA from 1 species
CGGACGGGUGAGUAAUGCCUAGGAAUCUGCCCGAUAGUGGGGGACAACGUUUCGAAAGGAACGCUAAUACCGCAUACGUCCUACGGGAGAAAGUGGGGGAUCUUCGGACCUCACACUAUCGGAUGAGCCUAGGUCGGAUUAGCUAGUUGGUGAGGUAAUGGCUCACCAAGGCGACGAUCCGUAACUGGUCUGAGAGGAUGAUCAGUCACACUGGAACUGAGACACGGUCCAGACUCCUACGGGAGGCAGCAGUGGGGAAUAUUGGACAAUGGGCGAAAGCCUGAUCCAGCCAUGCCGCGUGUGUGAAGAAGGUCUUCGGAUUGUAAAGCACUUUAAGUUGGGAGGAAGGGCAGUAAGCUAAUACCUUGCUGUUUUGACGUUACCAACAGAAUAAGCACCGGCUAACUCUGUGCCAGCAGCCGCGGUAAUACAGAGGGUGCAAGCGUUAAUCGGAAUUACUGGGCGUAAAGCGCGCGUAGGUGGUUCAGCAAGUUGGAUGUGAAAUCCCCGGGCUCAACCUGGGAACUGCAUCCAAAACUACUGAGCUAGAGUACGGUAGAGGGUGGUGGAAUUUCCUGUGUAGCGGUGAAAUGCGUAGAUAUAGGAAGGAACACCAGUGGCGAAGGCGACCACCUGGACUGAUACUGACACUGAGGUGCGAAAGCGUGGGGAGCAAACAGGAUUAGAUACCCUGGUAGUCCACGCCGUAAACGAUGUCAACUAGCUGUUGGGUUCCUUGAGAACUUAGUAGCGCAGCUAACGCGAUAAGUUGACCGCCUGGGGAGUACGGCCGCAAGGUUA